rnacentral:rRNA from 1 species
AACGAACGCUGGCGGCAGGCCUAACACAUGCAAGUCGAACGCCGUAGCAAUACGGAGUGGCAGACGGGUGAGUAACACGUGGGAACAUACCCUUCGGUUCGGAAUAACUCAGGGAAACUUGAGCUAAUACCGGAUACGUCCGCGAGGAGAAAGAUUCAUCGCCGGAGGAUUGGCCCGCGUCUGAUUAGCUUGUUGGUGAGGUAACGGCUCACCAAGGCGACGAUCAGUAGCNGGUCUGAGAGGAUGAUCAGCCACAUUGGGACUGAGACACGGCCCAAACUCUACGGGAGGCAGCAGUGGGGAAUAUUGGACAAUGGCGGCAAGCCUGAUCCAGCCAUGCCGCGUGAGUGAUGAAGGCCC